CUGAUAUCCUUUAUCUGUUGCAAGAAGUUGAUGAAUGGAUGUAGUUCUAGUAUAUAUUAGAGAAAUUUGGAUUUGACGUCCACUACCGCUACCUUUACGGGUAUUAACCAAUCAGAUGCGUUUGAUAUAUUUGAUUUACCAAUCGCAUCUAGCUGUCAGUGAGCAGAAUUAAUGAUAGCGAAAGUGGAAAGUUCAAAUCUGAACUUCUAUAUUGUGUCAAAACCGUCGUACAGGGUUACUAGUAGACUUUUAGUGGCCACACCAGUAAGACUAUUAUUUGGUUUGUUUAUGAAUGAACAUUGCACUACUCAAGCUUUUAAUAUCAAUCGUUUACCUUGAUGAUAUUCCAUCACAAUUAGAUAUUUACUGGAAAUAUAUGCUGGUGCAGCAACCCUUUGCCCUUUUUUUGGCAGAUCAGAACAUCUAAAACUCAAAAAUAUUGUUUCAGCACGAAGGUUUCGUUGUUGGAAACAUUGUACAUUCAAAG